rnacentral:rRNA from 1 species
CCUACGGUGGGCAGCAGUAGGGAAUCUUUCACAAUGGGCGAAAGCCUGAUGGAGCAACGCCGCGUGCAGGAUGACGGUCCUAUGGAUUGUAAACCUCUUUUGUCAGGGAGCAAAGGGCGCCACGUGUGGCGUUUUGCGAGUACCUGAAGAAAAAGCAUCGGCUAACUCCGUGCCAGCAGCCGCGGUAAUACGGAGGAUGCGAGCGUUAUCCGGAUUUAUGGGGUUUAAAGGGUGCGCAGGCGGAAUGUCAAGUCAGCGGUAAAAUUUCGGGGCUCAACCCCGUCGUGCCGUUGAAACUGGCGUUCUUGAGUGAGCGAGAAGUAUGCGGAAUGCGUGGUGUAGCGGUGAAAUGCAUAGAUAUCACGCAGAACUCCGAUUGCGAAGGCAGCAUACCGGCGCUCAACUGACGCUCAUGCACGAAAGCGUGGGUAUCGAACAGGAUUAGAUACCCCAGUAGUC